rnacentral:rRNA from 1 species
AAACUUUCAACAACGGAUCUCUUGGUUCCUAGGCAUCGAUGAAGAACGCAGCGAAAUGCGAUAAGUAAUGUGAAUUGCAGAAUUCAGUGAAUCAUCGAAUCUUUGAACGCACAUUGCGCUCGCCAGUAUUCUGGCGAGCAUGCCUGUUCGAGCGUCAUU